UCCCCACAUUCCCCUCUUCCUUUUUCCUUUUGGCUGGGUGCCCUAUUCAGUUGAACCAACUUCUUCCCUUUGGAUUUGUUUCUUGAUCAACGAUGCAGUUACUGCAUUCAUCAUUUUUUCGAAUAAUCUCACAUGUGGAGCUAAACUACUGGAAAUACAAGAAAUGCACCAAAAUUUCUCCACAGAUUGGUAGUAUCUGCUCAGACACUGUUUACUUAAAUCAAGAACACAAUCAGAAAACAACAGAAAAAUAAACCAUACACCACACAAGGUACAAAGAUUGGUUUAUGUGGUUCGGUAUGUAAUUUGUAUUCACAGUGAAAAGCACAAAAGAUUUUACUAUGCGAAAAAAAUAAAUAAAUAAAUAAAAUAAUAAAAAAGAAA